rnacentral:rRNA from 1 species
UACAGAGGGGGCAAGCGUUUAUUCGGAAUUAUUGGGCGUAAAGGGCGCGUAGGCGGCUUUUCAAGUGACGGGUGAAAUCCCUCGGCUUAACCGAGGAACUGCCUGUCAGACUGGAAGGCUUGAGACCGGGAGAGGUGAGUGGAAUUCCCAGUGUAGCGGUGAAAUGCGUAGAUAUUGGGAGGAACACCAGUGGCGAAGGCGGCUCACUGGACCGGAACUGACGCUGAGGCGCGAAAGCGUGGGGAGCAAACAGG